AGGUCAGCUGCUCUCCCGUCCGCCUGAAAAGCGGAAGGUCGCCGGUUCGAUCCCGGCCCUGGCCA
rnacentral:tRNA from 1 species